UACGGAGGGUGCAAGCGUUAUCCGGAUUCACCGGGUUUAAAGGGUGCGUAGGCGGGCAGGUAAGUCCGUGGUGAAAUCUCUGAGCUUAACUCAGAAACUGCCAUGGAUACUAUUUGUCUUGAAUAUUGUGGAGGUAAGCGGAAUAUGUCAUGUAGCGGUGAAAUGCUUAGAUAUGACAUAGAACACCAAUUGCGAAGGCAGCUUACUACACAGUUAUUGACGCUGAGGCACGAAAGCGUGGGGAUCAAACAGG
rnacentral:rRNA from 1 species